UAAUACGUAGGGGGCGAGCGUUGUCCGAAGUUACUGGGCGUAAAGCGCGCGUAGGCGGGGGAUUAAGUGAGAGGUGAAAGGCUGGGGCUCAACCUCAUGCAGUGCCUCUCAUACUGGUCUUCUUGAGGGCGGUAGGGAGAAGUGGAAUGGCUGGUGUAGCGGUGAAAUGCGUAGAUAUCAGUCGGAACACCGGUGGCGAAGGCGGCUUCUUGGGCCGUUCCUGACGCUGAGGCGCGAAAGCUGGGGGAGCGAACGGGAUUAGAUACCCCGGUAGUCCCAGCCGUAAACGAUGGAUACUAGGUGUUGGGGGUAUCGACCCCUCCAGUGCCGCAGCUAACGCAUUAAGUAUCCCGCCUGGGGAGUACGGCCGCAAGGUUG
rnacentral:rRNA from 1 species